CCUACGGGGGGCUGCAGUGGGGAAUAUUGGACAAUGGGGGGAACCCUGAUCCAGCCAUGCCGCGUGUGUGAAGAAGGCCCUCGGGUUGUAAAGCACUUUCAGUGAGGAAGAACGCCUGGUGGUUAAUACCCAUCAGGAAAGACAUCACUCACAGAGAAGCACCGGCUAACUCCGUGCCAGCAGCCGCGGUAAUACGGAGGGUGCGAGCGUUAAUCGGAAUUACUGGGCGUAAAGCGCGCGUAGGUGGCUUGAUAAGCCGGUUGUGAAAGCCCCGGGCUCAACCUGGGAACGGCAUCCGGAACUGUCAAGCUAGAGUGCAGGAGAGGAAGGUAGAAUUCCCGGUGUAGCGGUGAAAUGCGUAGAGAUCGGGAGGAAUACCAGUGGCGAAGGCGGCCUUCUGGACUGACACUGACACUGAGGUGCGAAAGCGUGGGUAGCAAACAGGAUUAGAUACCCGGGUAGUC
rnacentral:rRNA from 1 species